rnacentral:rRNA from 1 species
CGUAGGGGGCGAGCGUUGUCCGGAUUUAUUGGGCGUAAAGAGCGUGUAGGCGGUUCGGUAAGUCUGUCGUGAAAUCCUGAGGCUCAACCUCGGGCGUGCGAUGGAUACUGCCGGGCUAGAGGAUGGUAGAGGCGAGUGGAAUUCCCGGUGUAGCGGUGAAAUGCGCAGAUAUCGGGAGGAACACCAGUAGCGAAGGCGGCUCGCUGGGCCGUUCCUGACGCUGAGACGCGAAAGCUAGGGGAGCGAACAGGAUUAGAUACCCUGGUAGUCCUAGCCGUAAACGAUGGACACUAGGUGUGGGGGGAGUCGAAUCCCUCUGUGCCGCAGCCAACGCGUUAAGUGUCCCGCCUGGGGAGUACGGCCGCAAGGCUA